GAUGAACGCUGGCGGCGUGCCUAAUACAUGCAAGUCGAGCGAACAGACGAGGAGCUUGCUCCUUUGACGUUAGCGGCGGACGGGUGAGUCACACGUGGAUAACCUACCUAUAAGACUGGUAUAACUUCGGGAAACCGGCGCUUAUCCCGGAUAAUCUCUUGCACCGCAUGGUUCAAUAGUGAAAUACGGUUUUGCUGGAUCUUCUCGCUGGUUCCGCGCCGCUUUGGCUAGUUGUUGAGGUAACGGCUUACCACGGCAACCAUGCGUGGCCGACCGGAGAGGGGGAUCGGCCACACUGGAAGUGAGACACGGUCCAGACUCCUAAGGGAGGCAGCAGUAGGGAAUGUGCGGCAAUGGGCGGAAGCCUGGCGGAGCGGCGCGGCGUGAGUGAUGAAGGUCUUCGGAGCGUAAAACUCUGUUAUGAGGGAAGAACAGAUGUGUAAGGAACUGUGCAGGUCUUGACGGUACCUAAUCAGAAAGCCACGGCUAACUACGUG
rnacentral:rRNA from 1 species